UUUUUUUUUUUUUUUUAAACUACUCUUGAACUUUGGGGCCGUUACUAAGUGAAGAAGGGCUACUUGAAUACAAGCACUGGUGACCCAAAAAUCUGGUAAUAAAACAGCUGCUAACUGCCUCACAGGGAAGCAGCACAUAUAGAGUAGACAAAAGGAUGACCAUGUCUCGGGUGGGAUGGAAAGGAAUGGUGCUAACUUCAUCCUGCUACUCAGAUGGCCCACAAUUUAAAAUUAUGACUUUUUAUUUCUGGAAUUUUCCGUUUACGAUUUUUGGACCAUGGUUGACUGUGGAUAACUGAAACUGAGAAAAUGGAAACCAUGGAUGAAGGGGGACUACUGUAGUUUAAUGUGCUAAUUGACUGCUUCUCUGUUGAAUUUUGUCCAAGCCUUGUCAUUCCUUAUCUCAAAGUAUUAACAUAACUAUGUCUCCUUCGCACCUUAUCAAUCCUUACAUUGAUAUCAAUAUCAAUGCCAGAAUCAGGGUGAGCUUUAAGUAACUCUCAAUACAGCCUUCAGUUUAGAGACAAAUAUAAUCCUAGGAUGUGAGCAGUACUGGAUGGGAAAAAGCAAGUAACAAGGAAGCAGGUCAUAUCUAAGAGUUGAGGAGAAAAUCAGAGAAAGCAGGAGCGUAGGUGGAAUCACAAAGGCUAGAGCAGAAAUCAGUGGUGCUGCUCAGGAGUAAAUAGGGAUGUCUGAGUCAGGUAACCUAGGCAUUCUGGAGACAUUCUGACUUUACAAAAAUGGCUUAGAACAUGACCAGCAAUGAAGCGAUAUGCUAAUCCCAAUAUUAAUGUAAGCGUCUUAAUAUUAAUCUAAUGAACUCGAAGUAAGAGUUUUACAUGUGUUUGUCUCUGAGUCCAGAUCUAUGAAAGGCAGCCUCAACUAAUCACCAUGAAGAAAAUGAACCUCUCUUCCUUAUUUCUGAAUAAGGAAGAGAGGUCUGGGAGGGAAAUUUCUGCCAAAAUUGUUUAACUAUAAACAUAACCAGUGACAGUAAAAUGUGAUGAAUAAACAAGAUGUGGUAGGGCAAGAGAUGUCAUUUUCAUCUUCUGAAAAUAGUAAAAGUAAGGAGAAAAAAGUUGACAUUCUGCUUUUAAUUAAAUUCUCAGCAUAACUAUGAACAUCCAUGCCCUCGACAUGUCAUCCAACUCCUCAAAGAAGAGCCGAAAUUGAAAAAAUGCUCUAUCCAGCCAACAUGCUCUGUGCAAAUCAAGUUAAUGUUCUUUGCAUCGACAUAUUUAUUAUACUUACAUUUUAUUUUCAUAUUAUCGAAUAAUCUUAAAUUAGUCAAUGAUGAGUACGAGCAAACUGCCUUCUACUUUAUUAGUGACAAUUGAAUAUAUUUUAAAUAUGACUUCUCCUAAUAGGCAAAGAUUCCUACUCGAUUUUAUAAAAAUCAUGAAUCUCACUCUAGUGGAUUCACCACAAUGCAAUAAGAAUCUAUUCUUAUAAGCCUAAAAAUGGAAGGCUAAAGGUCACAUUUAGAUGAUUUGUAGAAUGAGACAUAACCCACAAUAUAUUGUAUUAGGCAGUGUAAUCACAGGGUAUUCUUUUUAUAAAUCCUUUUGCAAUAUAUUCAUUAUUUUAUAACGAGUUCUUUUUCUCAAAUAACUCCUUUUUGAAAAUAUGUUUGUUAAAUAUUAGGGAGUUGGUGACAUAAUUAAGAAAUUCUUUAUUUUUAUGAAUUUUGAGUAUAGUUCAUGCCCCAUUCAAUUUAUUAGAUAUUUGGGAAAAUCUAACAAUAAUUAGGAUAAUUUGGUUAUAGUUUGCAGGUGUACUUGAAAGAAUUUUUCUGUUUUAAAUUGGUUCCUCUUUCUACAUUUUCAAAUGUUAGACAUCCUGUUUGCUGAUUUGCUGUUUUCUCCUACUUCAGGUUUCUCCUCUCUUGGGGAAAUUACAUAAAUUAGAACAGUGCUUGCUAUAUAGUAAGCUCUCAAUACAUAUUUUUUAAUUUAAUGAAAUAAUGAACAAUCAGGUAUAUUACAAACGUUAUCUCUCCCUGCCACUUGAUUACAUUCUAGAUAAAAUAAAAAUUGCAAAAAUGGAUUGUGAUUCAUCCUUUAAAAAGAUUUUUUUAGAAUAUCAUAUAUAAUGUUACCAAUAUUUUACGUAACUGUUAAAAUUCACAGCACACAAUAUUCUUAUUUAUAAAAAUAAUAACCUUAAAGGAGUUUUAAAAGCGAAAAUACCCAAGAAUACUAUUAACCUAAUAGAUAUACUUUUAUUUGCUGUUUUUUAUUUUCUUGUCCAAAGAUUGGCAUGUGCAUUUUUCACUUUAUGGAAAACAUUUACGGAGCUAAAAUGCCAGACACAUUUCUGAAUAUAUAGAGAAAUAAGGUGAGGAGCUCACAAAAAUAGUGUGCAAAAGAGAAAACAAUUGCUAAUUACAUGUGGGUGAGUAUGAUGGAAAGGAAUGCAAAUGUCACAUCUGCCUUAUGAGUACUAUCUGACCUAUGCUAGGAAAGAGCUUGGGAACGCUUCCCAGAGAAAACUGUUUGAGCUGAAUCUUGAAUGUGAUCAUCAGCAAGCCCAGUAAACAAGAUCUCAGAGAAGAGAAUUAGUACAAUAAAGAAUGUUCCAGAAAAAAAAUGGGCAUAUGCUCCUGUACGGAAAUGCACAAGAGCCCACAGUAUCUAAGCCCAUGUGGAAUAUAAAUGUUUGAGAAUAUAAGAGAUCGGGUUUGAGAAUGAAGUCCAUUAUGUAGAACAUUUUAGGCCACAAUUCUCAAAAUACGUUCCCAAGACCAGCUAUAUUAACAUCAUCUAAAAACUUGUUAGAGAUGCGAACUGUCACGGCCCACUCAAAACGACUGACUCAGAAACUCCGGGGUCCGGGGACACAUUUUUUUUUUUAAGUUUUAUUGAAUUAGAGCAGAUAUACAAUGUUGUGAUAAAUUCUGCUAUACAAAAAAGUGAUUCAGUUAUGCGUAUACACAUUUCCAUUUUUUUAAAUGCUUUUCCCAUAUAGGUUAUUACAGAAUAUUGGGUUAUUACGAUAUUACUGAAUAUUGUAAUUAGCAAUAGUUUUCUCUUUCCAUUAUACUCACCAACACGUAAUUAGCACAUAUUUUCUCUGUAAUACAGAGAUCCCUGUGUUAUACAGCAGGUCCCCAUUGAUCACCCAUUCCAUAUACAAUAGUGUGCAUAUGCAAAUCCCAAACUCCCAGUCCAUCCCUCCCCCCACUUUUUCCCUUUGGCAACCAUACCUUUGUUUUUGAUGUUUGUGAGUCUAUUUUUAGGGCCACGCCCGGGGCAUGUGGAGGUUCCCAGGCUAGGGGUUGAAUCAGAGCUCUAGCUGCCGCCCUACGCCAGAGCCACAGCAACACCAGAUCCGAGCCGUGUCUGCGACCCACACCACAGGUCAUGGCAAUGCCAGAUCCCCAACCCAAUGAGCAAGGCCAGGGAUCGAACCCGCAACCUCAUGGUUCCUAGUUGGAUUCGUUUCCACUGCACCGUGAUGGGAACUCCCUAUUUCUGUUUUGUAAAUAAAUUCAUUUGUAUAAUUUGUUUUUAGAUUCCGUGUAUAAGUAUGUCAUAUGAUGUUUUUCUUUCUCUGUCUGAUUUACUUCGCUUAGUAUGAUAAUCCCUACCUAGGUCCAUGCAUGUUGCUGCAAAUGGCACUAUUUCAUUCUUUAUUAUGGCUGAAUAAUAUUCAAUUGUGUAUAUGUACCAUAUAUUCCUUAUACAUUUAUCUGUUGAUAAUAUUUAGGUUGCUUCCAUAUCUUGGCUAUUAUAGUGUUGCAAUGAUCAUUGGGGUGAAUGUUCCUUUUUGAAUUAUGGUUUUCUCCAGAUAUAUGGCCAGAAGUUGGAUUGCUGGAUCAUAUGAUAGUUCUAUUUAUAGUUUUUUGAGAUAAUUCCAUACUGUUUUCCAUAACAGUUGUACCAGUUUACAUUCCCACCAACAGUGUAGGAGGGUCUGGGAAACAUUUUUAACAGGCCUUUCAGAUAAUUCUGAUGCACUUUAAAGUUUGAGAGCCUCUGCACUAAAAUGUUUGCUAACUAUUUGGCCCUAUAAAUCCAUGCAUUUAUAAAAGUGAUGGCGAAGCCUGGAUAAGUACUUUAGAAUAAACCAUUGGGAAAUUCCUUGGAAGGAGACAUGAAUGAAAGCAAGAAAAUGAAUUCAGUAACUUUUUGGCACAACAGAUGACAAAAUAAGUGUUAAAUAUGGUGAUACAGAAGAUGAAGCAAAUUUAAGGGAAAUUUGAGGUGGAAAACCAAGACUGGAUGAACAAGAGCAUUUAGAAACCUAAGGUAAAAGAUAGGUUUUGAUUGAUUUCUCAUUUUCUAGCUUUGUGAACUGAGAAGACCAAUCAUCUUAUAUAUCCAGGUAUUUCAUGUAUUAACAAGUAUUGUUUGUAUACAUUAGCAGUUUAUAAGACCUUUCUUUAAAAGCUUGAUUAUUCUCUAAGUUUUUGUACAUUCCUCGUUUGGUUUAAACCAAUGUAUUAAAGUUUAAGUGACAAAUGAGUUUUCUACUUAUAGUAACUUAUGGUAUAUAUAGUAAAUUGUACUUAGCUUAUUACAUUGGAAUCAUUUUAUAGAAAUAUGAAAGUCAUUAUUAAUAUGCUACUAAUUCCAAAUACCAAGUAGCCUAUUAUUAAUAUGCUUUUAAAGUAACUGUACUAAUAUGAAAUCUAAGCUUUUCAUAGAAAAUACAAGUAAGGGUUAGGACCAGGCAAUGCACUUUCUUUUCCUUCAUUUUUUGUCUCUAAAAUAACAAACUCAUUAUUGCUUCUCAACUUUUUAAAAUCAAUAAUAUCAUUUUUAUCCCAAGGUGGGGCUGUCUAAACCUUAUUUUUAUAUCACUUCCUCAGGAAUGUUUAGGUUACAGGAAUUGCUAACACUUUCACAAUAAAUGGUGCCAUGUACUUGAGCCAUGGAAGUGGAAGAGAGUAAUGAAGGGCAGAAUCUGAAGGAAAGUUUGGUUUUCACAGUGAAAAGAGGAUCACAAGUCAACAACAAUAUGUGUAUCUAGUGACAUCUUCUUGCCAAGUACUAUAAAAAUGUCAUAUGCAUUAUCUCAUUUAACCUUCCAGGAAAAUACCAAUUAGGAGACAACAUUAUCUAAAUUUUGCAGAACAAAAA
rnacentral:lncRNA from 1 species